rnacentral:tRNA from 1 species
GGGACGGUUUAGAGUAUAUGACUUUUAAUCAAGUUGUCCGGGGUUCGAAUCCCCGAUGUCUCA